rnacentral:lncRNA from 10 species
AAGGGUUGGUAGGGGACCAGAGAAUAGAGGAAGCAUUGUAGGUUCUAGAGUGGAGAAGGGACCAUCCAAAAUGGAGUUUGAAAGAGAAUUCUGGCCUUUGUGUUUAGAGUCUGGAAUUGUCAAGAGUCUGAAAGCACAGAAUAAGACUGCAGCUAGAGCAAUUUAGGCGCCAUAGUUUGUCAAAACAGGUAAGGGGAAUAAAGGGGAUGACACCAAGAGAUGUGCAAAGAAUCUGAAGAAUUCACCUGAAAAGGAUACAACCUCCUCCUGGAAGGCAGAGGAGUAAAUAGGGAAUUGGAAAUUAAUUCCUUAUUUCUGCACAUGCACAGAAUCUGGGCCCAGGUGACUUAUGGAACCUUUAUAGAGACCACGGUGACUGACACUCAUGGGAAAGGGGGUAGAGGGGCAAGAACUGACUGUUCAUCAAAAAUUAUUAGAUGAGUGUGUCCACGACACCAGGAGAUAUGUUGAAUCAUGGACAGGGACCAGCAUAUCCACUAAGCUCUAUAUAUCUUGAUGGUGCAGGAUCCAAGUGGGAUGGAACAACCAAUUCCUGCCCAUCCUCCUGCUCAAUAAUACAUGUGCUCAGAAUCUGUUCAUAAUGCAUGGUGAGACGGGAUCUCACUGUGUUGCCCAGGCUGGUCUCGAACUGCUGGACUCAAGUCAUCCUCCCAUCUUGGCCUCCCAAAGUGCUGGAAUUACAGUGGACAACCUUCAAUGCACUGGUACUUUGUACCCUGACCUCUACUGUGAUGAACACUCAACUUGGGCAAGGAAGUGAAAUUCUCCAAAGUCCCAGCACUUUGGGAGGCUGACGCAGGCGGAUUACUUGAGGCCAGGAGUUCGAGACCAGCCUGGCCAACAUGGUGAAACCCCUUCUCUACUAAAAAUACAAAAAAUUAGCCAGGCUUGGUGGCACACGCCUAUGGUUCCAGCUACUCGGGAGGCUGAGGCAGAAGAAUUGCUUGAACCCGGGAGGCGGAGGUUGCAGUGAGCCAAGGUUGUGCAACUGUACUCCAGCCUGGAUGACAGAGCGAGACUGCCUCAAAAAAAAAAAA